AACUGAAUACAGGAAGACACUAUGCCUGAGGAUCCCCCCUCAAACAUUUUGACCCAUGGUUGCUUGUGUCUGCAGAUGGAGAACCCACAGAUACAGAGGGCCAAUUGUAUUCUUAGAUGCCACCACAAAUCUGCAUCAUUAAAAGAUGUUAAAUAAUUAAUGGAUAUAUGCAUUAUAUGCAAUACCAUAUAUCCUUUAAGAAAAAGAAGAUAUGUCUAUUAAAGACCCACAAGGAAGGUCCAUGAUCUAUCGUUGAGUAAACAAGGACGUUCGCACUAUUGAUACAUGCAGCAGUUCAGAGGGAUCUCAGGCAAUAAUGCUGAAUGAGAAAAGCCAGUAUAAAUUAUUUGUAAAACAUUCUUGAAAUAAAAGUAUAGAGAUGAAGAGGUAGUUGCCAGAGCUGAGGGGAUUGGGGCAUGUAGUUAUAGAGUUAUGAGGAAGCCCCAUGGUAACGGAAUAGUUCCAAAUCUUGAUUGUGGUGGUUACGUGAUUCUACACAUUGACAGAAUUGCACAGAACUUACACACACACAAACACACGAGGACAUAUAAAAUGUUAACUCUGAAUAAGCUCUACUACGUUUGUACUAGAUGUUACCAUUGGGGAAACUGGGUGAAAGUUACCUUGCACCUCUCUAUACUUUUUUUUCAUUUUUGGCAACUUCCUGUGAAAUCUAUAAUUAAAAUAAAAAGUUGAAAAACAAAAACAGUUGCAAAAUACAGUGCAUAAUGUGAUCCCAGUUUUAAAAAAUAUAUGUAAUAUACACAGAUACAUAAUUUUUUAUAUACAGAAGAGUAUCUGGAAGAAUAGACACCAGAUUGUUAAUGCUCCUUACCUUGGAGACAAGGAGGGGACAUGGGGAGGCAUGAGACUCUUACUUCACACUUUCUCAAUGAACAUGUAAUACUUUUGUAUUGUGUAUUUUGGAUUACUUAAACAGCAGGUCAAGAGGCUAUAAGAAAUGACCAUGAAGUUGUCACCUCUGUUUUUAAAUAAUGAAAUUUCAUCAUCACAGCAGUGAGCUCAAUAAAAUUCCUAUAGCAUCAAGAUAAACACAAAGUAACAUAUGCAUCUUAGAUGAUUUAACAAACUUCAGUUGUCACCAUAAAGGAAGAACACAGUCAACAAAAGCAUCCUGCAAGUGUGAAGGUAAUGCCCAGUCAGAGUCGCGUGCUCAUGUCCUGAGGUUUUCAGGAUUUGCACUGACCCUACAAAGGAGCGUUCUGAUUUCAGUGAGGGGUAACUUACUGAACAGAGAAUAAAAAUAAAAUUGUGAUUAAAAGUAAAGUUACUGUAAGACAUUUAAUAACAUGUAUGCUCUUUAUUAUCUUGCUCCUGCAGAUUACUUCCACAUGGGCAAAUUAUCCAUUUUCAAGGUAUUGCAUUUUUUACAAAUUGAAGGUUUGUGGCAACCCUGCGUUGAACAAGUCUAUUGGCAUCAUCAUUCCAAUAGCAUAUGCUCAGUUCAUGUUUAUGUAUUUCAAAAUAUUUGGUAAUACAACAUUUCAAACUUUGUCAUUAUUAUAUCUAUUAUGGUGAUCAGUAAUUUUUGAUGUCACUACUAUAAUUGUUUUGAGAGGCCACAAAUCAUACCCAUAUGAGAUAGCAAACUUAAUCAAUCCACAUUGUGUGUGUUCUAACUGCUCCAACCAUUCCCCCAUCUCUCUCCCUCUCCUAAAGCCUCCCUAUUCCUUGUCACAACAAUAUUGAAAUUAGGCCAAUAUAAUAACCCUAAAAUGGCCUCUAAGUGUUCAAGUGAAAAGAAAAA